rnacentral:rRNA from 1 species
AGAGUUUGAUCAUGGCUCAGGACGAACGCUGGCGGCGUGCUUAACACAUGCAAGUCGAACGAAAAGAGGGAAAGAGCUUGCUCUUUCCGGAAUUGAGUGGCAAACGGGUGAGUAACACGUAAACAACCUGCCUUCAGGAUGGGGACAACAGACGGAAACGACUGCUAAUACCGAAUAAGUUCCAAGGGCCGCAUGGCCCAUGGAAGAAAAGGUGGCCUCUACCUGUAAGCUAUCGCCUGAAGAGGGGUUUGCGUCUGAUUAGCUGGUUGGAGGGGUAACGGCCCACCAAGGCGACGAUCAGUAGCCGGUCUGAGAGGAUGAACGGCCACACUGGAACUGAGACACGGUCCAGACUCCUACGGGAGGCAGCAGUGGGGAAUCUUCCGCAAUGGGCGAAAGCCUGACGGAGCAACGCCGCGUGAGUGAUGACGGCCUUCGGGUUGUAAAACUCUGUGAUCCGGGACGAAAAGGCAGAGUGCGAAGAACAAACUGCAUUGACGGUACCGGAAAAGCAAGCCACGGCUAACUACGUGCCAGCAGCCGCGGUAAUACGUAGGUGGCAAGCGUUGUCCGGAAUUACUGGGCGUAAAGCGCGCGCAGGCGGCUUCCCAAGUCCCUCUUAAAAGUGCGGGGCUUAACCCCGUGAUGGGAAGGAAACUGGGAAGCUGGAGUAUCGGAGAGGAAAGUGGAAUUCCUAGUGUAGCGGUGAAAUGCGUAGAGAUUAGGAAGAACACCGGUGGCGAAGGCGACUUUCUGGACGAAAACUGACGCUGAGGCGCGAAAGCGUGGGGAGCAAACAGGAUUAGAUACCCUGGUAGU